rnacentral:siRNA from 1 species
UCUAUAUGCCAUACACUACUC